AUUAUCAAAAAGAGCAUCCUGAAUGAACCUGAUCGCGUCUGAUCUCAGAAGCUAAGCAGGGUCAGGCGUGGUUAGUACUUGGAUGGGAGACCACCUAGGAAUACCAGGUGCUGUAGGUGUUU
rnacentral:rRNA from 1 species